GACGAACGCUGGCGGCGUGCCUAAUACAUGCAAGUUGAGCGCUGAAGGUUGGUACUUGUACCUACUGGAUGAGCAGCGAACGGGUGAGUAACGCGUGGGGAAUCUGCCUUUGAGCGGGGGACAACAUUUGGAAACGAAUGCUAAUACCGCAUAAAAACUUUAAACACAAGUUUUAAGUUUGAAAGAUGCAAUUGCAUCACUCAAAGAUGAUCCCGCGUUGUAUUAGCUAGUUGGUGAGGUAAAGGCUCACCAAGGCGAUGAUACAUAGCCGACCUGAGAGGGUGAUCGGCCACAGUGGGACGGGGACAAGGCCCAAAAUGCUUAGGGAAGGAGGAGGAGGGAAACUUCGGGAAAGGACGGAAGGCUGAACGAGCAACGCCGCGUGAGGGAAGAAGGGUGUCGGGUCGUAAAACUCUGUUGGUAGGGAAGGACGUUGGGGAGAGUGGAAAGCGCAUCAAGUGACGGUAACUACCCAGAAAGGGACGGCUAACUACGUG
rnacentral:rRNA from 1 species